AGGCCCACGCAUGUUUGGUUGCAGUGUGGGAACGCAACCACACGGGGGCGCUGUGGACGAUUUAGUUUCUCCGGGGCUUAGACUCGGCGCAACAAAAAAAAAACCCAAGUUAUUCGCAUUUCACCCACUUUCUGAUUUGAACGAAAAGGCUGCUCUCUCUCUCUCUCUUCCCGAUAGAUAGUUAUAUAGCAGGCGGUAGAAACCAACACUUUCCAACCAGAUCCGAGAGAGACAAGAGGGGAACAUGGACAUGAAAAAGAGAAUUCACCUAGAACUGAGAAAUAGGACGCCGUCGGAUGUUCAGGAGCUGGUCCUGGAUAACUGCCGGUCCAACGAGGGGAAGAUGGAGGGCGUAACGGAGGAGUUUGAGAACCUGGAGCUGUUGAGUCUCAUCAACGUCGGCCUCAUCAACGUCUCAAACAUACCCAAACUGGGGAAAUUAAAAAAGUUGGAGCUGAGUGACAACAGGAUAUCUGGUGGUCUGGAGGUGCUGGCUGAGAGGCUGGUCAACCUCACACACCUCAACCUCUCUGGGAACAAGUUCAAGGACAUCAGCACACUGGAACCACUGAAAAAACUUCCCGUGUUGAAGUCCCUGGACCUGUUUAACUGCGAGGUCACCAACCUGGGAGACUACAGGGAGAGCAUCUUCAAGCUCCUCCCGCAGCUCACAUACCUGGAUGGCUACGAUAUCGAAGACUGCGAGGCCUCCGACUCGGACGGCGAGGGAGACGGGAUCGAUGACGACGACGACGACGAUGAAGAGGGAGAGUCUGAGGACUUUGACGAGGAGGAGGAUGAUGAUGAUGAAGAGGUCAUUGCAGAGGAAGAUGACGACAGUGCGGAGAGUGAAGAGGAUGGGGAGGUGAACGGAGAUAUCGAUGAUGAUGAUGAUGACGACGACGAAGAUGAUGGUUAGUAGCGUUAUCCAAUCACAUGUCUGGUGUAGGUCUCCUGGUCUGAGUAGGUCUCCUGGUCUGGGUAGGUCUGGUCUGAGUAGGUCUGGUCUGAGUAGGUCUCCUGGUCUGAGUAGGUCUCCUGGUCUGAGUAGGUCUCCUGGUCUGAGUAGGUCUCCUGGUCUGAGUAGGUCUCCUGGUCUGAGUAGGUCUCCUGGUCUGAGUAGGUCUAUCCUGGUCUGGGUAGGUCUGGUCUGGGUAGGUCUAUCCUGGUCUGAGUAGGUCUCCUGGUCUGAGUAGGUCUAUCCUGGUCUGGGUAGGUCUAUCCUGGUCUGGGUAGGUCUAUCCUGGUCUGGGUAGGUCUAUCCUGGUCUGGGUAGGUCUAUCCUGGUCUGGGUAGGUCUAUCCUGGUCUGGGUAGGUCUAUCCUGGUCUGGUGUAGGUCUAUCCUGGUCUGGUGUAGGUCUAUACUGGUCUAAGUAGGUCUAUCCUGGUCUGUGUAGGUCUAUACUGGUCUGGUGUAGGUCUAUACUGGUCUGGUGUAGGUCUAUCCUGGUCUAAGUAGGUCACUACGUAGGGUCUUUUGGGACACAACCAGACACGUUCUUCUGUUUGUUGCCAGUGUCUAAAUGUCUUUCUUCUUUAGAUGAGGAUGACUCUCCAGCGAAGGGAGAGAAGAGGAAGAGGGAUCCUGAGGAUGAUGACGAUGAUGAAGAUUCAGUGCCCUCCCCACCACCCCUCAA